rnacentral:rRNA from 1 species
GACGAACGCUGGCGGCGUGCUUAACACAUGCAAGUCGAACGGAAAGGCCCUGCUUUUGUGGGGUGCUCGAGUGGCGAACGGGUGAGUAACACGUGAGUAACCUGCCCUUGACUUUGGGAUAACUUCAGGAAACUGGGGCUAAUAUCGGAUAGGAGCUCCUGCUGCAUGGUGGGGGUUGGAAAGUUUCGGCGGUUGGGGAUGGACUCGCGGCUUAUCAGCUUGUUGGUGGGGUAGUGGCUUACCAAGGCUUUGACGGGUAGCCGGCCUGAGAGGGUGACCGGCCACAUUGGGACUGAGGUACGGCCCAGACUCCUACGGGAGGCAGCAGUGGGGAAUAUUGCACAAUGGGCGGAAGCCUGAUGCAGCAACGCCGCGUGCGGGAUGACGGCCUUCGGGUUAUAAACCGCUUUCGCCUGUGACGAAGCGUGAGUGACGGUAAUGGGUAAAGAAGCACCGGCUAACUACGUG